GCAGUGGUGGUUCAGUAGUAGGAUUCUUGCCUUCCAUGCAAGAGACCAGGGUUCAAUUCCUGGCCAAUACA
rnacentral:tRNA from 1 species